rnacentral:rRNA from 1 species
GGAGGAUCCGAGCGUUAUCCGGAUUUAUUGGGUUUAAAGGGAGCGUAGAUGGAUGUUUAAGUCAGUUGUGAAAGUUUGCGGCUCAACCGUAAAAUUGCAGUUGAUACUGGAUGUCUUGAGUGCAGUUGAGGCAGGCGGAAUUCGUGGUGUAGCGGUGAAAUGCAUAGAUAUCACGCAGAACCCCGAUUGCGAAGGCAGCCUGCUAGGGUGCGACAGACGCUGAGGCACGAAAGCGUGGGUAUCGAACAGGAUUAGAUACCCUGGUAGUCCACGCAGUAAACGAUGAAUACUAACUGUUUGCGAUACAAUGUAAGCGGUACAGCGAAAGCGUUAAGUAUUCCACCUGGGGAGU